CUACGUGCCAGCAGCCGCGGUAAUACGGAAGGUUCGGGCGUUAUCCGGAUUUAUUGGGUUUAAAGGGAGCGUAGGCCGGAGAUUAAGUGUGUUGUGAAAUGUAGACGCUCAACGUCUGACUUGCAGCGCAUACUGGUUUCCUUGAGUACGCACAACGUUGGCGGAAUUCGUCGUGUAGCGGUGAAAUGCUUAGAUAUGACGAAGAACUCCGAUUGCGAAGGCAGCUGACGGGAGCGCAACUGACGCUUAAGCUCGAAGGUGCGGGUAUCAAACAGGAUUAGAUACCCUGGUAGUCCGCACAGUAAACGAUGGAUGCCCGCUGUUGGUACCUGGUAUCAGCGGCUAAGCGAAAGCAUUAAGCAUCCCACCUGGGGAGUACGCCGGCAACGGUGAAACUCAAAGGAAUUGACGGGGGCCCGCACAAGCGGAGGAACAUGUGGUUUAAUUCGAUGAUACGCGAGGAACCUUACCCGGGCU
rnacentral:rRNA from 1 species